CGAAAGUCGGCUCCCGCAAGGGCAUCUGUCGAGGUGCUGCAUGGCUGUCGUCAGCUCGUGUCGUGAGAUGUUGGGUUAAGUCCCGCAACGAGCGCAACCCUUGUCCUCUGUUGCCAUCACGUUAUGGUGGGCACUCUGAGGAGACUGCCGGUGACAAACCGGAGGAAGGUGGGGAUGACGUCAAGUCAGCAUGGCCUUUAUGUCUGGGGCUACACACGUGCUACAAUGGCCGGUACAAACCGUCGCGAUCUCGUAAGAGGGAGCUAAUCGGAGAAAGCCGGUCUCAGUUCGGAUUGCAGGCUGCAACUCGCCUGCAUGAAGUUGGAAUCGCUAGUAAUCGCGGAUCAGCACGCCGCGGUGAAUACGUUCCCGGGCCUUGUACACACCGCCCGUCACAUCACGAAAGCUGGCUGUACUAGAAGUCGCUGCGCUAACCCGCAAGGGAGGCAGGCGCCUAAGGUAUGGUUAGUGAUUGGGGUGAAGUCGUAACAAGGUAAGCGUAGCGAG
rnacentral:rRNA from 1 species